AUGAAUAUGUAUAAGCCUGGCGAACGGUAUCUAUCAAACUCUAUGUUGAAGACCCUCUCGAUCGGUCUUCAAGUUCUGCAUGCCAAUGUGGUAGGUAAAUCAAAAGAAGGUCAACAUGGAUACACGACCAAGGUCAUAGAAGGUUAUAGUUUCAUCCAGGAGUUUCUGGCCGACAAAAUUGAUCUGGCCUUUAAUGAGGUCAUUCAUGCAAAUAUCUUCUCUGUCAGCACAGUCUCCCUAGAUUUAAUGAUGAUUUGGGUACUUCAUCGAGCUAUAGACCCCCUACUCCUGAUUGGUAAAGUGUCCUUACCAAAUCCUUUUUACAUGCACUGCCACAACCUAGAAACCACAGAUAGCCAGGAGGUUAUCUAG
rnacentral:rRNA from 1 species